UGGUCAAGCUGUAAAGGGCGCAAGGGGAAUGCCUUGGCACUGAGAGCCGACGAAGGACGCGACAAGCUGCGAUAAGCUACGGGGAGCCGCAAAUGGGCUUUGAUCCGUGGAUUUCCGAAUGGGGAAACCCGAUGGAGCAAUACUCCAUCAACCAUGACUGAAUACAUAGGUCAUGGUGGGGAACCGCCUGAACUGAAACAUCUAAGUAGGGCGAGGAAGAGAAAUCAA
rnacentral:rRNA from 1 species